UUAAAACGAGCCUCAUCCAUCAGCAGCACAAAGUACAGCUACCCAUCGUCAGGCCUCAGCUGGCUGCCGCACGGUGCGUUGCUAAUCUCACCUCUCUUGGGGACUGAAUUGCUCAAUCUUGCCCAAGUAUUUGUCACUGCAUUCUUUCAUCAGAUGCCUUCGCUCGGGCAGUCUGGAUGGCUUCACUCGAAUCAGCUCAUCAGCGCAAAAUGCAGUGAGCAGCAUAGACCAUUAGCCGAUGUAGCCUGACCCCGGGCUCUGGUAGCUUGCGUAUUGCCCAGGCAGAGGGAGCUGAGGUUCAGCUAGAAGAGCAGAUGUUGGAUAUACCUCCCCUAAUCUGUGCUCUUUACAAAAUGACUGUGAACCGUUUAUCAAAAUGUUUAGCUUGUUUUGAUAGCUGGACUAAAUUGUAAACAAAUGGUAACCACAUGUUAUUUACGGCAGAAUAAUUUUGCUUUGUUUGGUUUUAUGACAGCAUUUACACAGUAUUUUAUGCAACCUUAGUGACCUACAUAAGGUUUUGGUCUACAAGUUAUACUCUUUUUUCUGAAAAAAACAAAGAAUUAACAAAAUAGAUGAUGGCAGGAUUUGUUUUUAACCAUAGCAGCUGGUAAUUUGAUGGAAAAAAACCAGUAAAACUUCUUCGGUGUUUUCAGAGAUCAGAAAUUCUCUUUUCUGCUGUCCCAAGGGCCUUUAAAAAUAUUCAGGCUUGUUGUUGAAGUUCAUUAAGUCACAGAGUGAUAGCAAUACACAUUGCCGUCCCUAAUUUCAACUUAAGUUCCCCUAAUUCCUGCCAUCACAAACCAUUUCCUGGCUUCUCCUCACCUUGCUCUGAAAUGUUUUUUUCUUUGGUUUAUGGCUUUUUGUUACUCAAGAUUUGGGAAGAAGGGGGAACAUUGUGAUGAAACCUUCUUCUGUAAAAUCACUGAAACCAUCACACCGCAGUUACAGCUCUGGUCUAUUUGCCUUUAGGCACAAGCCAAGAUCAGAUGGUUCUAGAUCAGCAAAGAAGACAUGGGGAAGGGAAAGCCACAUAAAAGCUUUUCUCCUCCCUAGCACUUCCAUUCAAGAGUCCCAGAGGGAAAUCACAAAUACAUUAGGUCAGCCUUACAAAAAUCAUUCUUUAACAAAACACAAGUGAAAAAAACCCCCAAACCCCAAAACACUAGGGCGUGCAAUACCUGAACUAUUUCAUAGUAACGUUGGAAAACUAGUAGCUGAAUAAUUUUGUGGCUUGAUUGUUGUUUUCAAGACAGUUUUGUAAAGUUGCAUGAGAGGGAACAGAAACCUCCUGGUUAGGAUAUGUAAAUAGAAAACAUCCUAAGGCUGCUGUCCCUUUCCUCUUCUCCUGGAUCACUACUCUCAGGAAGCCACCUGUAAUUCUUUUUGUAAAUGGUCUGUGCUGCAUGUGAAAGAAGGAAGAAAGAAGGGAAAAAAAACCCAAAAAACAAACCCCCAGAUUUGCUGAACAGAACACAGAAAAGUAAGUAUUUUUGAAAAUGUUUAAUUUUCCAGGAGGGAUGUCUCCAGUUUUUGGUUCUCUGGUAUGUGGGGAGGGGAAAGUUACAGCUGCUUUAAGCACGGUAAUCUCCAUUUUACUGCCAAGAUGACAUACUUACCUGUGAACUGCAAAGAUAAGAAACACCAGUGCUAGUAUUUCUCAGUGUUGCUCUAUGAUUUUUGUAUGUUAUAUGCACAAGCUUUUUCAGUGAAAGGCAAAGGAUUAAAUCAUUAACAAAGGCCUUCUUUUCCCCGUAGUUAAAUCAGGCACUGAGCUUAAACAAAGGCUAAAGUUAAGAAGUCUGACUUAAGAGUGCCUUUCACUUCAACUACCCAAUUUAGUGUCUUGACUUACGGGCUGUCAUAUUUUUCAUUCCUUCUAAACCCUUUCUGCAUGACAUUCAUUUGCAUAAACAAUCCCAUGGCAAUAGCAGGAAUAAUAUUUAGCUCUCUAAACCAGAGCGUUUGUCCAUAUUUCCCCAAAGUAUGUCAGCUCUGAGUGCGACUGGUCAAGAUGCCACUUGAAAUUCCUGCCUGCUCUCUUACACCGUGAUGGUGAAUCUGAGCUGGUUGCAGCAGUUGGAGUCAAUUUUCAGCUCACGUUUCUUUCCUAGGAAUGACUGGAGCUCCCGGAGAGGAAAGACUGACCUUCUGCUCCUUUUGCUUCCUCCAGCUCCUUCACGAUGCCUUGCUGACUUGCCCAGUCCCCUCUUUCCAUUCUUCUCCUCAGUCCCUGCAUCCCUUUCUUGCAAAAUGGCACGGAAGCAUUUAGAAAAAUUUCAGAGCCACUUAGAGCAGAGUUUCAGAGCUGCCGCGUUUCAGCCAUUGGGGUGAAAUGUUCCAGACCAGGUGCCCUUCUUGGGAUGACUUGUUUCUGAAAAGUUUGACUCAAAAUGUCUUCUUGAGAAAGUUAAGCAGAAAAAGUCAGUUGCUUUUUUUUCUGUAUUUUUAAAAACUUGUGUUUUUGAGAAGCUUCGGUGUCCUGGCCUUUAGAUCAGAGGGGAAGCAUUUGUCAGGGAGCAGCAGGGGCAAGUUCCCUCCCCUUGAGGGAGGGCGAGACGGGACCUGCGGCUGGUGGCAAGGCAGGAGCAGGGCCCAGAGCGGGCCAGCACGGCCGCAGUCCCGCAGCCCCCGGGCAAGGUGAGCAGAGAGGGUCCGGUGACGGGAUCCGAGUCGGACCAAGAGUCCGGAUCGCCAGGCAAGUCCGUAGUGAUGAGGCGGGUUUGAGGUCAGGUUGAGUUUGCGGUUCAGGAUCGGGUCCAGAGACAAACACCCUGAUCGUCACACAGUCCAGUGAUCACCAAGCGCGUUCGUAGUGUGGAGGAAAGUCUGAAGUCAAGCCAGAAAAUCAGAUCUGAGGGUUUUCUCAAAGAGCUCCAAGACUGGUGAUUGCCCUCCUCGAUCAUCUCUCUCUUCCCAGUGAGGUCCAGCCCCACCAGAACUUCCCAGCCUUCAGUAAAACCUUUGCUAGCCCAAUUUGCCCCUUGUCCUGAGUGGGGACGGUGCCCCUGGCAGCACCCAGCCCGGCACCACAACACGCCGGAGCUGGAGGGACGCAGAGCCCGCAGUAGGGAUUUCCCUGGCCAUUUCUGCCACAACGUUUUCUGCUGAGCUCCCCUCAGCUCAAAGGCUUCAGAGGACCACAUGCAAAAACCGUGAAAGUAAUGGUACGCCCUGCACCGCUGUCCAGGAAAGACUAUGAAACGGGAGGCUCCCUAUGGAAAUACAGAGCAUAACUGCAAAAUUAAAACACAAAUGGCAGUACACUCGUGGAGGAGGCUCAGAUUGUACUGUUGCGCAGGUAGCUUUAAAACUGACAAUUUACAGCUUGCGUGCUUAUGGGAAAAAACACAUGACGGUUGCAAAGUCCAGUUUUGGCUUGAAAUUUUAAUACGUAUAAGCUGCAGAGACUAAGAGAAAAGGGUUGACUCAUUCUUCUUGUGUGAGGAGGGAUAGUGUGGAAAAGAUACCAAAUAACACCUAAUAAAAAAUAGGCAGUGGUGCAUAUAAAGUAGAUGUUGGGAAGAGGUCUGGUAAAACUUUAUUUUUUGGCACUAAUAGCACGCACCGAAAGGCUCUCUGAAUAUUGGAGGGGUUUCUUGAAAGAAAACUGAAAACUCCAAUUGCAAUAAAAGGAAAUAGUUUUCUGACAGAGCAGUAAAAAGGUGCAACAACAGAUGCCCUGAUAAACAUACCCAGUUGCCACAGGCACCUAUAACGCAUCCUCUAAACACGUUUUUUUGGCUGGCGAAGUGGAAAAAUGGGCAACUCUAGGAUUAGAGAAAAUUGCAUCCCACUUCGAAUGUCUGGAGAAUGCCUGAAUGGUAUAAAUUGUGUAUCUUGGCCAUCCCCAAAUAUAUAGGCAGGCACUUGAGGAAAUGAGUUAGAACUGCAUUUCCUGAGAGUCAAAACUCAGUUGCAGCCUUCAGUAAACUUGUAUUUUUCCAUCGAACAUGGUUAGUGACUUGGAUUCCUAAUGAGAAAAAAAGACAGUAGCAAAUAAUAAAGCACAGAAGUGGUGACGUAUGUCCCAUAUGGUAGCAGGUUUUCUCUAAUUGGUUGGGUGGAACCACAGAGAUACUAAAAGUUAGUUUUUCCCUAAAAACAAAACACACAAACAAACAAACAAGCAAUCUAGUAAAACGACAGCCAGGAUGACUCUGCAUCAUUCAUUUGAGCUCUAGGGGGGCAGCAGCUUAAAUUCCACAAAUGCAAAAAUGUUCAUCUUUGUUUGUGUAGAUAUUUUGUGUUCAGCAAGUGAGUUUGAUUUAGCUGGCAAAGUGAAUGUUUGAAAGAUUAAAUGGAAAGAUCUGGAAAGAACAUUUUAUAACCAGUUUUUCUAUUUUGAAAGACUUCAGAGUACUUGGAAGGAGGUAUAAUUGAUUUGUAUGAAACUUUAAAACAAUGAUUUUUGUCACAUUCCCUUUGAAACGUUACAAAUCUUUAUGGUCAGUCAGAAAUAUUUGCAUAAAGCUGCUAAGAUUGCCUCAAUGAAGAUAUGAUGUAUUUUGUUCUUUUUGUGUUAUGCUGGGAGAUGUUUUGGCUUUCUUUUUCAUCCCAAUCCUGUUUUAAAUUCAAAAAUAGGAGUGGAGAGACUCCUAUUUGUUCUACAUACUUAGCUUUUUAGAUUAAUUCAUACCUAAUCCAGAAGCAUUUUAUUACCAAAGAGGAACUGAAUUAUCAAAAGAGCCCAUAAUUUGUCUCAUAUUUAAAACAUGCAGAUAGGAAAUAUCAUGUUACGCGGUUUUACCUAUUUGAAAAGCAGUCUUUCUAGUCUUUAUUAACAUCAUCACUAUAAGAUCUGUAACAUCUGCUUAUUAACUUCCCUAGCAUCCUUGCAGUAAAAAGACUUGUACUUGCAAAAGGGUAGAUGGAAUGGCAAGCUAGAAGUCACUUCUGAAUGACAAAGUUCUACUGAUCAUUGCGUUCAUUCCUUUUCUUGUCUACGUAGGAGCUGAUUUGUACACAUGGGAGAGAAAGACCCAAGGAAAAAGCAGGACUAUGUAACUGUGUGUUGCAGAUCCGAACUUUUGGGGCUUUGACAUCACUUGCUCUCAUCAUAUACUCAUCAUGGCAAGACAGAAAGAGAGAGAGCAACUUAGACCAGCAUGAUAAAUGCUCGUUAAGGUCCCCAAUAGGUAUGAGUAGAGCAGAAAGUAUGAGCUCCCGCUGAGAAAACCUUUGUCCCACGUCAGCACAUGUGUACGUGUGGCCAAAGGGUGACGGCUCCAAAAAUUUGCUUGGCAUCACCUGUUUUAAAAUGGCAAGUAUAAUAAUGCUUAAACUGUUGCAAAAGCGCAGACAUACUACCUAAACAGAAAUUAUCACCUCUGACUGCUUCCAUACAGUUAGGAGAAUAUAUGACAAAAUAUGAAAUUCUAAAUAUCACGAGAGGCAGGAGGUUUUCUGCUGUCAGAUCAUUGUAAGGAACUUUAAAAAGAUUUAAUGUUAAAUUUUCAGUUUUGUUUUCCUUAGAUGUCCUGACUUGGCAGCAUUCAGUUCCAAAAGUGUCUGGUUUUGGUACAAAUGACUCAUAAAUAAAAACUUACUGUAGAAGCUUUAAAGCUGGCGCAUAGUUUUCCACAAAGCAAAAUCAUAAGGAACUUAUUCUCAAAGUGGUAAUACAAAUACUAGAGUAAAAACACAGGGUGACUGGGGGGAUUGGGAUGGAAGAGAGUUAAUCACCUUAGUGCAGAAAGCUAAAUUUAAAAGGUGGGGGUUUUUUUUCUUUUUUUGCUUCUUUAUUGCUUCUUUUAAGGGCAAACAUCCAAAAGUGCUCAAAAAUGACAUUCAAUCCAAACUAAUUCAAUAUUUGAAAUAUUUGCAUUCCUUCGUUACUGUUUGAAUCACAGAUACAAACCUUGGAUCAAGGACACCUGUGGUGAGAGGUGCCAACAGAAAUGUGGCAAACCGGUCAGUGAGAAAGCUUUAGUGAUAGGAAGAGAAUCAGAUUUUGCUGCUUUAUGAUAAUAAACGGGGACUGAAAACAAGCCUUUGUAUAAUUUCAGAUUUUCCACAUUUCGGACCUUUCCAGCCAGUUUAUGGUUCCUGCACUCUGCUUUCUGCUAAAAAUAAUAAUAAUUGCCUCCCACUGAUUUUGAUCCACCAAAGGCAGGAAAAGUUGGAGGAGUCCUGCAAAAGCAGGCUGCAGGGAGUUGCCAGAGUUUUAGCUGCCAUUUGGUCUAACUUGCUGCGAGCAGAGCUGUACCUGAGAUUUAUAGCAGAGUCGUGCUACUUAACCAAGCUAAGCGUUGUCAGCAAGACACCGAAAACUGAGCAAGCGGGAACAAGAAUGGGAGGUUAUAGGAGAAAUAUUCUCUUGCAUGCCAAGAUUAUCGUAGUCACGAACUGAAGUUGGGACGAGGGCAGCGGUAAAGAAGACCGGCUUUUUCUUCACGCUGUACUGCAAUGGCCCCUCGUUGGGAUUUUGUCCCCCCUCGUGCUCAGCGUUCACAAAAGGCACAAACCUUUCCGCCAGCCGGGAGCCCACCGGUGUCUGUCCCGGCCGCCAUUUUAGAGGAGCCCACGGGAGAUAAACCCACGUAGGCCUCCGUCUGUCUCACAGCGGCCUGCCCUCUUCUCUGGUUCUCAUCAGCUGCUGCUGCCGGCUGGUCACGGUUUCUGCUUCUCGAAAACCGCAGCUGAAGCCUUGUUUUGGUGAACUAAGAUAAAGUAAACGUUGCGUGGUUCCAGCCUUCCUGCCACCGUUAGGCUGGCCAGCCGUAGAACCACCUGUCCUCCGUGUGCCGGCGAACCUUCCGAAAAUAACCCCACCGCCCUCUAACUCGAAAAAGACAAGUAUUCAGAGAGCAAAUUCUCUUUCCAGUCACAUACAGUGAAUUACUCAAAUUCUCAUUUGAUUUCAGCCUUUAUAUUUACUCAUCUGUCAGCAUAUUAACAUUUUGGAAAUACUCUGUAAACUUUCAGCCAUAUUUUUUUAAAGAAAUUUUGUAGACAGUGCAAAAUAAAGCCUGUUUUCUCCAGGUAAAGCAUUAGUCACCCUUGAAGAACUUGUCUUAUUUCUAAAUUUCCUGCAGGCAAUUUGCAAUAGCCAAUUACAUAGUAAGGACAAAAACUACGCUUCCUAAACUACAUGCUGUAGACCAAAUUCAGCGUAAUACCUAAAAUGACUGCAGAAAGAACUUGUUUUUCUAAAAAAGAAUUGAGAG